rnacentral:tRNA from 1 species
AAAAAGAUAAGCUAAAUAAGCUUUUAGGUUCAUACCCUAAAUAUAAAGGUUAUAACCCUUUUCUUUUUA